rnacentral:rRNA from 1 species
GGGUUGUGAGGUUAAGCGACUAAGCGUACACGGUGGAUGCCCUGGCAGUCAGAGGCGAUGAAGGGCGUGCUAAUCUGCGAUAAGCGCCGGUAAGGUGAUAUGAACCGUUAUAACCGGCGAUACCCGAAUGGGGAAACCCAGUGUGAUUCGUCACACUAUCAUUAACUGAAUCCAUAGGUUAAUGAGGCGAACCGGGGGAACUGAAACAUCUAAGUACCCCGAGGAAAAGAAAUCAACCGAGAUUCCCCCAGUAGCGGCGAGCGAACGGGGAGGAGCCCAGAGCCUGAAUCAGCAUGUGUGUUAGUGGAAGCGUCUGGAAAGGCGCGCGAUACAGGGUGACAGCCCCGUACACAAAAGCGCAUGUGCUGUGAGCUCGAUGAGUAGGGCGGGACACGUGGUAUCCUGUCUGAAUAUGGGGGGACCAUCCUCCAAGGCUAAAUACUCCUGACUGACCGAUAGUGAACCAGUACCGUGAGGGAAAGGCGAAAAGAACCCCGGCGAGGGGAGUGAAAAAGAACCUGAAACCGUGUACGUACAAGCAGUGGGAGCCCCACCACCAAAGCAUUCUCUGGUGUUGAAGGCCCUGCAAAGCAGCAUCGCGGUGGCGGAGCGUCGUUUGCGACGCCCAACACACAAAACAAGCGGUGAAUGCUUUGGGGUGGGGUGACUGCGUACCUUUUGUAUAAUGGGUCAGCGACUUAUAUUCUGUAGCAAGGUUAACCGAAUAGGGGAGCCGGAGGGAAACCGAGUCUUAAUUGGGCGUUAAGUUGCAGGGUAUAGACCCGAAACCCGGUGAUCUAGCCAUGGGCAGGUUGAAGGUUGGGUAACACUAACUGGAGGACCGAACCGACUAAUGUUGAAAAAUUAGCGGAUGACCUGUGGCUGGGGGUGAAAGGCCAAUCAAACCGGGAGAUAGCUGGUUCUCCCCGAAAGCUAUUUAGGUAGCGCCUCGUGAAUUCAUCUCCGGGGGUAGAGCACUGUUUCGGCUAGGGGGCCAUCCCGGCUUACCAACCCGAUGCAAACUGCGAAUACCGGAGAAUGUUAUCACGGGAGACACACGGCGGGUGCUAACGUCCGUCGUGAAGAGGGAAACAACCCAGACCGCCAGCUAAGGUCCCAAAGUCAUGGUUAAGUGGGAAACGAUGUGGGAAGGCCCAGACAGCCAGGAUGUUGGCUUAGAAGCAGCCAUCAUUUAAAGAAAGCGUAAUAGCUCACUGGUCGAGUCGGCCUGCGCGGAAGAUGUAACGGGGCUAAACCAUGCACCGAAGCUGCGGCAGCGACGCUGAUGCGUUGUUGGGUAGGGGAGCGUUCUGUAAGCCUGCGAAGGUGACCUGUGAGGGUUGCUGGAGGUAUCAGAAGUGCGAAUGCUGACAUAAGUAACGAUAAAGCGGGUGAAAAGCCCGCUCGCCGGAAGACCAAGGGUUCCUGUCCAACGUUAAUCGGGGCAGGGUGAGUCGACCCCUAAGGCGAGGCCGAAAGGCGUAGUCGAUGGGAAACGGGUUAAUAUUCCCGUACUUGGUGUUACUGCGAAGGGGGGACGGAGAAGGCUAUGUUGGCCGGGCGACGGUUGUCCCGGUUUAAGCGUGUAGGUGUGUGUUCCAGGUAAAUCCGGUUCACUUUAACACUGAGGCGUGAUGACGAGGCACUACGGUGCUGAAGCAACAAAUGCCCUGCUUCCAGGAAAAGCCUCUAAGCAUCAGGUAACAUCAAAUCGUACCCCAAACCGACACAGGUGGUCAGGUAGAGAAUACCAAGGCGCUUGAGAGAACUCGGGUGAAGGAACUAGGCAAAAUGGUGCCGUAACUUCGGGAGAAGGCACGCUGACACGUAGGUGAAGUGAUUUACUCACGGAGCUGAAGUCAGUCGAAGAUACCAGCUGGCUGCAACUGUUUAUUAAAAACACAGCACUGUGCAAACACGAAAGUGGACGUAUACGGUGUGACGCCUGCCCGGUGCCGGAAGGUUAAUUGAUGGGGUCAGCGCAAGCGAAGCUCCUGAUCGAAGCCCCGGUAAACGGCGGCCGUAACUAUAACGGUCCUAAGGUAGCGAAAUUCCUUGUCGGGUAAGUUCCGACCUGCACGAAUGGCGUAAUGAUGGCCAGGCUGUCUCCACCCGAGACUCAGUGAAAUUGAACUCGCUGUGAAGAUGCAGUGUACCCGCGGCAAGACGGAAAGACCCCGUGAACCUUUACUAUAGCUUGACACUGAACAUUGAGCCUUGAUGUGUAGGAUAGGUGGGAGGCUUUGAAGUGUGGACGCCAGUCUGCAUGGAGCCGACCUUGAAAUACCACCCUUUAAUGUUUGAUGUUCUAACGUGGACCCGUGAUCCGGGUUGCGGACAGUGUCUGGUGGGUAGUUUGACUGGGGCGGUCUCCUCCUAAAGAGUAACGGAGGAGCACGAAGGUUGGCUAAUCCUGGUCGGACAUCAGGAGGUUAGUGCAAUGGCAUAAGCCAGCUUGACUGCGAGCGUGACGGCGCGAGCAGGUGCGAAAGCAGGUCAUAGUGAUCCGGUGGUUCUGAAUGGAAGGGCCAUCGCUCAACGGAUAAAAGGUACUCCGGGGAUAACAGGCUGAUACCGCCCAAGAGUUCAUAUCGACGGCGGUGUUUGGCACCUCGAUGUCGGCUCAUCACAUCCUGGGGCUGAAGUAGGUCCCAAGGGUAUGGCUGUUCGCCAUUUAAAGUGGUACGCGAGCUGGGUUUAGAACGUCGUGAGACAGUUCGGUCCCUAUCUGCCGUGGGCGCUGGAGAACUGAGGGGGGCUGCUCCUAGUACGAGAGGACCGGAGUGGACGCAUCACUGGUGUUCGGGUUGUCAUGCCAAUGGCACUGCCCGGUAGCUAAAUGCGGAAGAGAUAAGUGCUGAAAGCAUCUAAGCACGAAACUUGCCCCGAGAUGAGUUCUCCCUGAGACUUUAGGUCUCCUGAAGGAACGUUGAAGACGACGACGUUGAUAGGCCGGGUGUGUAAGCGCAGCGAUGCGUUGAGCUAACCGGUACUAAUGAACCGUGAGGCUUAACCUUACAACGCCGAAG